rnacentral:lncRNA from 1 species
GGAUUCCCAGUAAAGUUAGCGAUUUACAUCGGCGGCAGCGACUCAUAGGGAUUCAGUUAACAGGUAAUGUGAGAUAGAAGGAAUUUUAUCAUAAUUUAAAGAUUGCAAAGUAUGAAGAAUUUCUACAGCCAAACUUCGCUUUUAUCAAUUAUUGUACUGGGUUUGUGCAUUAGUGUACAUUCCAUGCCAUCUUCGAAUUCAGGGAACAAUAACCCUCCUACACAUACUAAAAAUGAAGACCGGGACAAAGACGUAGUAAAGUUUGAGGAGAUAUGUAGGAAAGUAUGUAACCAAAGCCAUCCGUGUCCACCAGAAUGCGCAGAUCUUAUUGAUCCUUGGGCAAUGGACACAUAUCCUUUGUACUUAAAUAAAAGAUCUCCAGGAAUUGAUGGCUUCACAUUUGAUGAUUACUUAUUUCUGAGAUGGCUUGGUCGGGAUAUGAAGCGACACAGAUUGCAAUAAAAGACUGGAUGCGAUUGCUGUUUUAUGUACUUCAAAUAUCUAUAAACACUAGACUGUUAUGGACUCUAGAUGUGUUUUGAAGGUUGUACUUUCACAAAUUCUACAUGCGUUCUUUAAAGCAAAUUUUCAUAAGCUGUGCUUUGGUAUAAGGUAAAAGAAAGCCACAAAAUGUAUAAAUAGUUUCGCAAGUAAAAACAAGCGUGUACAUAAUACAGGAAAUCUCGGAUAACCAUUCCAGUGGAUAACUGUGCAUUAAAUUUUGGUUAAAACAUACCAGAAUAUUGAAUGUGACAGUACUUUUUAACAAAUACAGUGUCUGAUCUAACAGAUGUAGUUUUAGUGGAAAAAGAUUUUCUAAAAGUUUAACCAGCUGACAACUUAGUGGAUUCAGUACUGAGCAGCCCAGUCCAAUAACUGCACUGAACUCUGAAUUGUUUUCCUUUGUUGUUGUGAACAAACAUAUUUUGGAGAUUCUGUCAAUUUAUUUUAAAGGGUAAAUGAAGAAAAUGUCAAAAAGAAGGAAUACAUGUACUAUAAUUCAUUCAUGUGCCUCUCGUGAUACAAACUUUUGUUCUAUGUUAAAGAAAAUACACUGUUCAAAAUAAUUUAAUGACAACUUUGUGUUUUCAGAGGAAAUUAAAUAAUUUUGUUCAAACUUAUUGGUAAGAUAGAGCUAAGGAUAAAUUGCUCUGAUUUACAAUACAGUAAUUCUUUAAACUCUUUCCUUUAUCUUUUCAUGAAAUCAAAUUAUACUAUGG